rnacentral:rRNA from 1 species
GAUGAACGCUGGCGGCGUGCCUAAUACAUGCAAGUCGAGCGAACGGACGAGAAGCUUGCUUCUCUGAUGUUAGCGGCGGACGGGUGAGUAACACGUGGAUAACCUACCUAUAAGACUGGGAUAACUUCGGGAAACCGGAGCUAAUACCGGAUGAUAUUUUGAACCGCAUGGUUCAAAAGUGAAAGACGGUCUUGCUGUCACUUAUAGAUGGAUCCGCGCUGCAUUAGCUAGUUGGUAAGGUAACGGCUUACCAAGGCAACGAUGCAUAGCCGACCUGAGAGUGUGAUCGGCCACACUGGAACUGAGACACGGUCCAGACUCCUACGGGAGGCAGCAGUAGGAAAUCUGCCGCAAUAGGCGAAAGCCUGACGGAGCAACGCCGCGUGAGUGAUGAAGGUCUUCGGAUCGUAAAACUCUGUUAUUAGGGAAGAACAUAUGUGUAAGUAACUGUGAACAUCUUGACGGUACCUAGUCAGAAAGCCACGGCUAACUACGUG